CCUACGGGAGGCAGCAGUGAGGAAUAUUGGUCAAUGGACGCAAGUCUGAACCAGCCAUGCCGCGUGCAGGAAGACGGCUCUAUGAGUUGUAAACUGCUUUUGUACGAGGGUAAACGCAGAUACGCGUAUCUGUCUGAAAGUAUCGUACGAAUAAGGAUCGGCUAACUCCGUGCCAGCAGCCGCGGGAAUAAGGAGGAUUCAAGCGUUAUCCGGAUUUAUUGGGUUUAAAGGGUGCGUAGGCGGUCGGAUAAGUUAGAGGUGAAAUCCCGAGGCUCAACUUCGGAAUUGCCUCUGAUACUGUCCGGCUAGAGAGUAGUUGCGGUAGGCGGAAUGUAUGGUGUAGCGGUGAAAUGCUUAGAGAGCAUACAGAACACCGAUUGCGAAGGCAGCUUACCAAGCUACUUCUGACGUUGAGGCACGAAAGCGUGGGGAGCAAACAGGAUUAGAUACCCCAGUAGUC
rnacentral:rRNA from 1 species